rnacentral:rRNA from 1 species
UACGUAGGGUGCGAGCGUUAAUCGGAAUUACUGGGCGUAAAGCGUGCGCAGGCGGUUUUGUAAGCCAGAUGUGAAAUCCCCGGGCUUAACCUGGGAAUGGCAUUUGGGACUGCAAGGCUGGAGUGCGGCAGAGGAGACUGGAAUUCCUGGUGUAGCAGUGAAAUGCGUAGAUAUCAGGAGGAACACCGAUGGCGAAGGCAGGUCUCUGGGCUGACACUGACGCUCAUGCACGAAAGCGUGGGGAGCGAACAGG